GGGCAAGUGGCGGAAUUGGUAGACGCACCACACUCAAAAUGUGGCGGCCACUGGUCGUGAGAGUUCGAGUCUCUCCUUGCCCA
rfam:Halothece sp. PCC 7418, complete genome.